UAAAUACUAGUGAAGUAAAUAUAUAAAUGAAAAUUACAAUCUAGUUUUCGACAUAUGAAAUUUCAGGUGUCAGUUGUUCAUGGACAGAGGUAGCCAAGCUGACAGGCGGAAAAUUGAAGAGCUGAAAGAUGAGCUUAAGAACCAUAUCAACGAUGUGGAAAACAUUUUACGACGGACAGGUGAAGUGGACAGAUUUCGUUGGCAUUGGUACCGAGAUGAAAGCAUGCAAUAUCAUAUCCAGUAUUUGAAAGACAAGAUCAACCUCUUUAGUAACCAACUGGAUUUACCAGACCAAGAGACGCAUGAAGCCAUAAAGAUAAAACUAAUUGAAAUAAAAAAAAAACUGGAAAAGGAAAAAGAAGUUCACACCUCUCUUAUACACAAGGUACAGGCAAAACUGAAUUGAUCAGUGAAAACAUAUUUCCUUUGAAUCAAUCAAUGAUCAAAAUAACAAACUGUAUCAGUGAUGUUGUUCGUAAGCCCCAAUACCCACUUCUCAAAUAAUUUUAAUCUUAACUGCAACACUUUAUUAUUUGGUGAUCCUACCU